UACGGAGAGUGCAAGCGUUAAUCGGAGUUACUGGGCGUAAAGCGCACGCAGGCGGUCUGCUAAGUUUGGAGUGACAGUUGGUGGCUUAACUGCCAAAGUGCUUCGAAAACUGACAGACUUGAGGGCUUCAGAGGGACACGGAAUUCCGGGUGGAGUGGUGAAAUGCGUAGAGAUCCGGAGGAACACCAAAGGCGAAGGCAGUGUCCUGGGGAGUACCUGACGCUCAGGUGCGAAAGCCAGGGGAGCGAACGGG
rnacentral:rRNA from 1 species